rnacentral:rRNA from 1 species
AGAGCGAACGCUGGCGGCAGGCUUAACACAUGCAAGUCGAACGGGCAUAGCAAUAUGUCAGUGGCAGACGGGUGAGUAACGCGUGGGAACAUACCUCUUGGUUCGGAACAACACAGGGAAACUUGUGCUAAUACCGGAUAAGCCCUUACGGGGAAAGAUUUAUCGCCGAGAGAUUGGCCCGCGUCUGAUUAGCUAGUUGGUGUGGUAAAGGCGCACCAAGGCGACGAUCAGUAGCUGGUCUGAGAGGAUGAUCAGCCACAUUGGGACUGAGACACGGCCCAAACUCCUACGGGAGGCAGCAGUGGGGAAUAUUGGACAAUGGGCGCAAGCCUGAUCCAGCCAUGCCGCGUGAGUGAUGAAGGCCUUAGGGUUGUAAAGCUCUUUUGUACGGGAAGAUAAUGACGGUACCGUAAGAAUAAGCCCGGCUAACUUCGUGCCAGCAGCCGC